CCUACGGGACGCAGCAGUGGGGAAUAUUGCACAAUGGGGGAAACCCUGAUGCAGCGACGCCGCGUGAGCGAGGAAGUAUUUCGGUAUGUAAAGCUCUAUCAGCAGGGACGAAAAAAGACGGUACCUGACUAAGAAGCCCCGGCUAACUACGUGCCAGCAGCCGCGGUAAUACGUAGGGAGCAAGCGUUAUCCGGAUUUACUGGGUGUAAAGGGCGUGUAGGCGGGCUUGUAAGUCAGAAGUGAAAUCUGGGGGCUUAACCCCCAAACUGCUUUUGAAAAUGCGGUUCUUG
rnacentral:rRNA from 1 species